GACGAACGCUGGCGGCGUGCUUAACACAUGCAAGUCGAACGAUGAAGCGGUGCUUGCACCGUGGAUUAGUGGCGAACGGGUGAGUAAUACGUGAGUGACCUACCUUUGACUCUGGGAUAAGCCUGGGAAACUGGGUCUAAUACCGGAUACGACCAAUCUCUGCAUGGGGUGUUGGUGGAAAGCGUUAUGGAGUGGUUUUAGAUGGGCUCACGGCCUAUCAGCUUGUUGGUGAGGUAAUGGCUUACCAAGGCGACGACGGGUAGCCGGCCUGAGAGGGUGACCGGCCACACUGGGACUGAGACACGGCCCAGACUCCUACGGGAGGCAGCAGUGGGGAAUAUUGCACAAUGGGCGCAAGCCUGAUGCAGCGACGCCGCGUGAGGGAUGACGGCCUUCGGGUUGUAAACCUCUGUUAGCAUCGAAGAAGCGAAAGUGACGGUAGGUGCAGAGAAAGCGCCGGCUAACUACGUGCCAGCAGCCGCGGUAAUACGUAGGGCGCGAGCGUUGUCCGGAAUUAUUGGGCGUAAAGAGCUUGUAGGCGGUUGGUCGCGUCUGCUGUGAAGGCCGGGGCUUAACUCCGGUUUUGCAGUGGGUACGGGCUAACUAGAGUGCAGUAGGGGAGACUGGAAUUCCUGGUGUAGCGGUGGAAUGCACAGAUAUCAGGAGGAACACCGAUGGCGAAGGCAGGUCUCUGGGCUGUAACUGACGCUGAGAAGCGAAAGCAUGGGGAGCGAACAGGAUUAGAUACCCUGGUAGUCCAUGCCGUAAACGUUGGGCACUAGGUGUGGGGGACAUUCCACGUUUUCCGCGCCGUAGCUAACGCAUUAAGUGCCCCGCCUGGGGAGUACGGCCGCAAGGCUAAAACUCAAAGGAAUUGACGGGGGCCCGCACAAGCGGCGGAGCAUGCGGAUUAAUUCGAUGCAACGCGAAGAACCUUACCAAGGCUUGACAUGCAUUAGAUCGCGUCAGAGAUGGCGUUUCCCUUCGGGGCUGGUGUACAGGUGGUGCAUGGUUGUCGUCAGCUCGUGUCGUGAGAUGUUGGGUUAAGUCCCGCAACGAGCGCAACCCUCGUUCUAUGUUGCCAGCGGUUCGGCCGGGGACUCAUAGGAGACUGCCGGGGUCAACUCGGAGGAAGGUGGGGAUGACGUCAAAUCAUCAUGCCCCUUAUGUCUUGGGCUUCACGCAUGCUACAAUGGCCGGUACAGAGGGUUGCGAUACUGUGAGGUGGAGCUAAUCCCUUAAAGCCGGUCUCAGUUCGGAUUGGGGUCUGCAACUCGACCCCAUGAAGUCGGAGUCGCUAGUAAUCGCAGAUCAGCAACGCUGCGGUGAAUACGUUCCCGGGCCU
rnacentral:rRNA from 1 species